rnacentral:piRNA from 1 species
UCGCCAGCAGUUUUGCCACGAGAGUACACC